rnacentral:rRNA from 1 species
AACGCGAAGAACCUUACCAGGCCUUGACAUCCAAUGAACUUUCUAGAGAUAGAUUGGUGCCUUCGGGAACAUUGAGACAGGUGCUGCAUGGCUGUCGUCAGCUCGUGCCGUGAGAUGUUGGGUUAAGUCCCGUAACGAGCGCAACCCUUGUCCUUAGUUACCAGCACGUUAUGGUGGGCACUCUAAGGAGACUGCCGGUGACAAACCGGAGGAAGGUGGGGAUGACGUCAAGUCAUCAUGGCCCUUACGGCCUGGGCUACACACGUGCUACAAUGGUCGGUACAGAGGGUUGCCAAGCCGCGAGGUGGAGCUAAUCCCAUAAAACCGAUCGUAGUCCGGAUCGCAGUCUGCAACUCGACUGCGUGAAGUCGGAAUCGCUAGUAAUCGCGAAUCAGAAUGUCGCGGUGAAUGCGUUCCCGGGUCUUGUACACACCG